rnacentral:rRNA from 1 species
CGUAGGGGGCGAGCGUUGUCCGGAAUUAUUGGGCGUAAAGAGCGUGUAGGCGGUUCGGUAAGUCUGUCGUGAAAACCUGAGGCUCAACCUCGGGCGUGCGAUGGAUACUGCCGGGCUAGAGGAUGGUAGAGGCGAGUGGAAUUCCCGGUGUAGCGGUGAAAUGCGCAGAUAUCGGGAGGAACACCAGUAGCGAAGGCGGCUCGCUGGGCCACUCCUGACGCUGAGACGCGAAAGCUAGGGGAGCGAACAGGAUUAGAUACCCUGGUGGUCCUAGCCGUAAACGAUGAACACUAGGUGUGGGGGGAGUCGAAUCCCUCUGUGCCGCAGCUAACGCGAUAAGUGUUCCGCCUGGGGAGUACGGCCGCAAGGCUA